UACGUAGGGCGCAAGCGUUAUCCGGAAUUAUUGGGCGUAAAGAGCUUGUAGGCGGUUUGUCGCGUCUGCUGUGAAAUUUCGGGGCUCAACCCCGAACUUGCAGUGGGUACGGGCAGACUAGAGUGUGGUAGGGGAGACUGGAAUUCCUGGUGUAGCGGUGAAAUGCGCAGAUAUCAGGAGGAACACCGGUGGCGAAGGCGGAUCUCUGGGCCUUACCUGACGCUCAGGCGCGAAAGCUAGGGGAGCGAACUGG
rnacentral:rRNA from 1 species